GGGUGAAUGAACGCACGCUUUGCCUGGGAUGCUAACCCAGAAACUUCCAUUUGAAAGAUUUGAGUCAGAUUCGCCAGACCACGGAGUGACUGAUAAUACGUGUCCAAUAUGAUAUUGCAUUGGUUGAAUAUCAUUGUUACGUCAGGUGUUUUGGUAUCGUUAUAUAGAGAGGCGUAGCAUUCACGCCAGUCAGAAAGGAACGCUGUGCAGCGAAAGAAUGCAACAUUAUAAUAAAUGACCGAACUAGACAUAGCAACUUCACCUCAGUGUAUCUUAGUGAUUUUAACCACUGUCAUUUCGAAGCUGCCGGCUGUGAACACAUAUGCCCCAUUAUGAUGUCAAUAUUUUAAUAUCGAAAACGGGGGAUGGCACCAAGGACCAUUAUUUGCAGACUCUUACCAUUUCUGUUGGUUGCCCUCUUCGUCUCGCCAGAAGAGAAUAAUGCGGUGGAGAUAUCAUGUAGUGACGGCCUAGGACUAAACUACACUCUUCCAAUGUUUGCUGAGUGCAAAGAGAAACAACAUCCCAGCGGAAGAAAUGUUCAAACCAUCCCAAAGCUUAUCCCAGUAUCACUUGAAGAUGAAG